ACAACCCUUUAGAACCAUGCGCCCAGCGCACGGACCCUUUUUACCGCCGUCAAACUAGCAAAAGUGGAUUUGGACACGCCCUAAACACACCUGCACCAGGCGCUGCACGCCGUGACCUCAGAUGGUUAAAAUAGGCCCUAUGUUGCAUAAUAGCUUUACA